UGUAUCCCCCGAUUCAACAUACUUAGAGCAAUGAG
rnacentral:sRNA from 1 species